rnacentral:rRNA from 1 species
UGCGAAAGCAGGUCAUAGUGAUCCGGUGGUUCUGAAUGGAAGGGCCAUCGCUCAACGGAUAAAAGGUACUCCGGGGAUAACAGGCUGAUACCGCCCAAGAGUUCAUAUCGACGGCGGUGUUUGGCACCUCGAUGUCGGCUCAUCACAUCCUGGGGCUGAAGUAGGUCCCAAGGGUAUGGCUGUUCGCCAUUUAAAGUGGUACGCGAGCUGGGUUUAGAACGUCGUGAGACAGUUCGGUCCCUAUCUGCCGUGGGCGCUGGAGAACUGAGGGGGGCUGCUCCUAGUACGAGAGGACCGGAGUGGACGCAUCACUGGUGUUCGGGUUGUCAUGCCAAUGGCACUGCCCGGUAGCUAAAUGCGGAAGAGAUAAGUGCUGAAAGCAUCUAAGCACGAAACUUGCCCCGAGAUGAGUUCUCCCUGAGACUUAGAGUCUCCUG